UUUCUUGUGACUCUUGAGUCUUUGAUAUAUGUUUACUCCUGGAGGUUUAUUUUGCUUGAGUAUAUGUAUUUUAAUAGUUGUUCAUACUUUACAACCAUAAACACACAUUCGAAAGAUUCUUUAAAUUUCGAGCCAAUACUAAGUCUAAACAGCCAAUAUGCCUUUUUUAUUUGAAACAUAACAUAGAAACCUUCAUGACAUUUGAUUUUCCUCAUAUUUCGUUCUUCCUUACUUCCACUUGUAUCUAUCAUCAGGAAUAUUACAUUGGUAGCAUGCACGACGUUUUUCUAAGCUUUAAUUAAAUUCGGAAAUACAAGUUGUAAUCAACAAUCAAGCAAUAUAUUAUUCGAGAAUGUAGUUGGCCAAUCCAUACCACAUCAAGAGAGAAUAUUUGUAGCAACUAAAAGAGGUAUCAAGGUUUCUCAUGGACGAAAUGCUAUAGACGUGGAACAAGGUUUCAGGAGCCACCAUUGCUAUUGUCUCUACACCUAAUACUAGGCCCCACAAUCAAGCGUGUCUUAAGCUUUGAGGUAUACCUUAGGCAUUUGAGAUGGCAAGAAGUACCACCUCGAACCCUGACUCUUCUAACAGCCGUGUCGUCAGAUAGUUUGGUGUUUGCUGGCUGUCUUCCGA